rnacentral:snRNA from 1 species
UUAUUUUCUAAUUUUCAGC